rnacentral:rRNA from 1 species
UGGGGAAUAUUGGACAAUGGGCGGAAGCCUGAUCCAGCAACGCCGCGUGAGGGAUGACGGCCUUCGGGUUGUAAACCUCUUUCAGUACCGACGAAGCGAAAGUGACGGUAGGUACAGAAGAAGGACCGGCCAACUACGUGCCAGCAGCCGCGGUAAUACGUAGGGUCCGAGCGUUGUCCGGAAUUAUUGGGCGUAAAGGGCUCGUAGGCGGUUUGUCGCGUCGGGAGUGAAAACAGCGGGCUUAACUCGUUGCUUGCUUUCGAUACGGGCAGACUAGAGGUAUGCAGGGGAGAAUGGAAUUCCUGGUGUAGCGGUGAAAUGCGCAGAUAUCAGGAGGAACACCGGUGGCGAAGGCGGUUCUCUGGGCAUUACCUGACGCUGAGGAGCGAAAAGUGUGGGGAGCGAACAGGAUUAGAUACCCUGGUAGUCCACACCGUAAAACGUUGGGCGCUAGGUGUGGGGUCCUUUCCACGGAUUCCGUGCCGUAGCUAACGCAUUAAGCGCCCCGCCU